rnacentral:rRNA from 1 species
UACGUAGGGGGCAAGCGUUGUCCGGAUUUAUUGGGCUUAAAGGGUGCGUAGGCGGUCUUUUAAGUCAGUGCUGAAAUAUCCCGGCUUAACCGGGAGGGUGGCAUUGAUACUGAAGGACUUGAGUAAAGUUGAGGUAGGCGGAAUUGACGGUGUAGCGGUGAAAUGCUUAGAUAUCGUCAAGAACACCGAUAGUGUAGACAGCUUACUAAGCUUUAACUGACGCUGAGGCACGAAAGUGUGGGGAUCAAACAGG